rnacentral:misc_RNA from 1 species
GAGUUCGCGGGAGAGUAGGUUAUUGCCAGGGUUUUUAUUUUUAUACUUUAAACUUUGAUUUUAUUUUUAUGUUUUUUAAAUAUUGGUGUUUUUGAAUGUGUUGUUUAAAUAACAUAAAAAAUAAAAUAUAUAUAUUGACAUGCAUUAAACAAAGAUAUAUAUUAUUUUAUGUUGUAUAAAUAAAUUGGCAAAAUAGAGAUGGAAGAUAAAAAUAUGGUCAAAGUAAUAAGAGUCUAUGGUGAAUGCC